UUUAAGCGUAGUUAUAGAUUUCCGUGUCCAAUAUUUAAUUAUUCGUUUUAUUUAAAUUUUUUUAUGAUUAAUAUUUUUGUUGUUAUUAGAUAAUGCGUGAUUUAAUUUUUUUUCAUAAAUUUUUAAAUAAGAUGGAUAAAUAAGAUGGAUGGUCAAACAUUAAACACAAAACUCACAGCUACGUUUAAA
rfam:Oryza glaberrima chromosome 1 Oglab01_0311_10, whole genome shotgun sequence.